AUUCGUCAAGAGCCCAGGGAAUGGAGUGCAUAGAACUGAAAACACCUGGCGGGGCGCGGCGGCACACGCCUAUAAUCCCAGCACUUUGGAAGGCUGAGGCGGGAAGAUCGCUUGAGUCCAGGAGUUCGAGACCAGCCUGGGCAACAUAGCAAGGCCCCGUCUUUACAAAAAAUUUAAAAAUUAGCAGGGUCUGGUUACAGGAGCCUGUAGUUCCAGCUACUUGGGAGGUGGGAAGAUCGCUUGAGCCCGGUAGGUUGAGGCUGCACUGAGCUAUGAUCGCGCCCCUGCACUCCGACCUGGUAGACAGAGCCAGACCCUGUCUCAACGAAAGGAAAGAAAUGGGCCGGGCGCGGUGGCUCACGCCUGUAAUCCCAGCACUUUGGAAGGCCGACACGGGCGGAUCACGAGGUUAGGAGAUCGAGACCAUCCUGGCUAACACGGUGAAACCCCGUCUCUACUAAAAAUACAAAAAAUUAGCCGGGCGUGGUGGCGGGCGCCUGUAGUCCCAGCUACUCGGGAGCCUGAGGCACGAGAAUGGUGUGAACCCGGGAGGCGGAGCUUUUAGUGAGCCGAGAUCGUGCCACUGCACUCCAGCCUGGGCGACAGAGCAAGACUCCGUUCCCCCCCCCCCAAAAAAAACAAAGGAAAUAAAUGAAAACAUUGAGGCUAGACUAACUGAUGAAGAGUGGUAACGGCAUGAAGAAGUCGAAAAGAAAGGCGGAUAGGAGCUGCAUUCAAUAUAUGAGUGCAGUUGAUGGAUGCUGACAGGGAUACUCUGGAGACGAAGUCUCGGCCCCUUCGCUAGUCUCUAGUCCUCCAUUUGCUCGCUGCAGUUACAUCAACAGCUCUCUGUAUCGGGGUAGAGUUGCAUAAAAUACAACUUAAAUUACAAUGCUAAAAUAAAUAUGAGCCCAUGAGCGGUAUCAUAGGCCUGAUUUUAAAAAACAAAACCUAGGAGAAGGUAGAAAUUCCAAAGGCGAGAGACGAAUCUGCCAACCUAAAUCCUGGGUGACAAGGCUGGUGGAUCACCGAGGCAAGAAAGAACCAGCGUGAGCUCAAGCCACACCCCUAGGCUCAGACCCAACGCUUGACAUUCGCCGCCGCACUUUCGCCACGCUUGCCGAAGCGCACCCGGCUAACUAGAGGAGGCGGGGCUGAAACCAUAAAAGGGAACUGGGGCGGAGCGAGCUGCGUCGUCGCCAAGGCAACUCGAGAGCUAAGUCCGGGCCUCGGCGGAGCCGGCGCUGCGAAUGGACUGAUGGCCGCUGAGGCUGCUCCUGGCGCGGUUCAUCAUCGGCCGCCGCACUUUCGCGACUGAGACGAAACGACACUCACCUUUACUUAAUGGAAGGCUUCGCUUACAUCCUGAACUUAAAGGAACUACAGAAAGGGACAGAAACUGCUUUCUUUUUAAACAAUGCGCUGAAAGGUUACUAGUGAUAGGAGGCUUAGUGAAGCGCGUGAUGUGAACGGCCACGCUGCAAGGCUGGAGAGAAAAGAGGAGGGAGUGAAGUUGCACCCUGAUCGCGAAUCCUCGGCCUUUUAUCAGGGGCGCCGCCACUCGGGGUCCGACCAUUCGCCUCCAACGAGGGGACAGCGAAUCUGCUGUCGUGUGCAGUCCACAGCAACCACAGGUGGGGCAACAGGAGGAGCGCUUGGGCACGACCACGUGACCCAGCACGAGCCACCGCCCGCCCCAAAAUGAAAUCAAAUCCUAAUCUCCCAAUCCCGGCAUGCCGGUCACUCCAGCCUUUCCAGGAGACUUGCGGCCGUGCAGCCCCUACACCUUUAUCUGGACUCCUGUCGUACUUGGCCCAGCUCCACUGGAUUCAGCCCUUGGAUAACCACCCUACCAGCCCCUAAAGAUGACUCCAUCCCCGUCGGUAUAGUUAAUUAAAGAAAAACAGGAGUCGAAUUUUCCUGGGGUAACUGGUUCUUUAGCAGGAGGGGAGCACUGGGGAGUAUCUUCAGGGUGGCUGGACUUUGCAGCCUCUUUAAUAACUUCCCCCUGUGCAGGUUGUAUCCUUUAUCACCCCACCCCGAUGCCCCGGUCUUCAGGAAAUGGCAGCAGGCCCAUAUUUCUGUAGGGUUCAGAGUUCUGUGAGGUAGAGCAUUCCUUCCAAUGGGAUCUUAGAAUUCCUAGAGUUGCAGAAUUUUACUGACUAGACCCAGGAGGUCUCAGGAGUCCAGACUUGCUUAAAGCUUGGCUCAAAAUUCCAAGGGAGCUCAUAACUCCAUGGGGCCCAGAGUUCCUGGCUCGGGAACAUUGGGAGGCCUGGGAUACAGUGCCUUAGCCUCAAGCAGAAAAGUGAACACAAUAUCUUUAUGGCUUGAAGGUAUAUGAAAUAAUGUCACUACAUCGGAGCAGCGCCUCUGCUUGCACACCUAUGGGAGUCUGCAGCUGUGACACGUAGAAGUUGGCCACAUCCAGGUCGGUGGCUCCAAAGUGGGCGGCCACACGCACACCCUCGUGCAACGUGAAGCUCACCUGAUGACCCACCAUGGCCAGCAGGCUGCGGAGGUAACGCUCCCGAAGGGCGGCUCGUGCCCGCUGCUCCUGGGAUUCCAGGGAUUCUUGAGCUAUGGGACACUCCUGGAUUUCAGGAACCUCUGGCCUCAAGGGGGCUCUGCGUCCAUCAGGGGCAAAGCCACGGCUGAAGCCAUCAGGGCCCCGGGGCAGCCGGAGCACAGGCACGGGAAUGUUCACUGGAGUUUGCAUUGUCUUGGCUGUUGAGUGAAGAAAAAGAGCAGGAAGUCAUUACAUGGUAAGCAUGGGGCUAAUGGAGGAGGGAGGAGUGGAAGCAGAGGCUGGUCUACCAGGCAGCUCCACUGCACCUGCCCCAGACUGAUCCACCCUCCUAAAAUCUGUGCCAUC
rnacentral:lncRNA from 10 species